UGAUGAAAAAUCUUCCGUGCUUUGGUGGAAACAAAUAUUUAUAAAUCGUGUUUGUGUGUGCAUCUUAUAAAACAAAUUUAGUUAUCUGUGUACAUAAGGCAGAAAUAAGAUAAUAACCGAGGAGAAAAUGAUUGAUUUUUCAAGGAUGAUUAAGAUGAUAAUAAAUCAGAUCAAUGAACGUGACACGGAACUCUUUUUAGUGGGAUUGUAUAUUUGAAGGUCCCAUUACUCGAGUCCUGUGAUAUGUUGUUGAUGAUCAGCUGGUAUCUAAUGGUAAUUUACAAGAAAAAGCAGUUUUGCACUUUGAUCUGUAUUAAUAGCCAUUACACGCCUUGUAUUACAUAUGUGCACGCAUUAGAACCAUAGUAGUCUUUACCAGUGCGACAUGACAAUGAACUUCAAUACUGCUAUCUUUUUAGGACCAUAUAGGAUCCUUCAACAAAAGAAUUAUUGAAGCAUAAGAUGAUGUGAUGUGAUGUACGUUAGUGUAGACUAUUCCAAUUAAGCAGUUGAAAUACUAUGAUCUGCCAGAGAGUACAACGGAAGGAUCUAUUAUUGAAGAAUAAGAUGAUGCGGUGUGAUCUACGUUAGUAUGAUUAGAAAUAAAUUUUCACAUAUUUAUAUUAAUCAUUAAUGCAUGCAUGGAAUGAAUAAAUGUUUGUAAUUAAUAAAGUAAUUCCAUAUGAAUUGUAU